CAGAAACUCAAAGGAAUUGACGGGGCCCGCACAAGCGGUGGAGUAUGUGGUUUAAUUCGAUGCAACGCGAAGAACCUUACCUGGUCUUGACAUCCCGGAGACCCUUAGGAAACUAGGGGGUGCUUCCAUCUGGAAGAAUCUGGAGACAGGUGCUGCAUGGCUGUCGUCAGCUCGUGUCGUGAGAUGUUGGGUUAAGUCCCGCAGCGAGCGCAACCCUUGCCUUUAGUUGCCAGCAGUUCGGCUGGGCACUCUAAAGGGACUGCCGGUGUUAAACCGGAGGAAGGUGGGGAUGACGUCAAGUCCUCAUGGCCUUUAUGACCAGGGCUACACACGUACUACAAUGGCCGAUACAAAGGGCAGCGACACUGCGAGGUGAAGCCAAUCCCGUAAAAUCGGUCUCAGUCCGGAUUGGAGUCUGCAACUCGACUCCAUGAAGUUGGAAUCGCUAGUAAUCGUGGAUCAGCAUGCCACGGUGAAUACGUUCCCGGGCCUU
rnacentral:rRNA from 1 species